UACGUAGGGUCCGAGCGUUGUCCGGAAUUAUUGGGCGUAAAGGGCUCGUAGGCGGUUCGUCACGUCGGGAGUGAAAACUCGGGGCUCAACCUCGGGCCUGCAGUCGAUACGGGCAAACUAGAGUACUGCAGGGGAGACUGGAAUUCCUGGUGUAGCGGUGAAAUGCGCAGAUAUCAGGAGGAACACCGGUGGCGAAGGCGGGUCUCUGGGCCGAUACUGACGCUGAGGAGCGAAAGCGUGGGGAGCGAACAGG
rnacentral:rRNA from 1 species